GUGGCGAACGGGUGAGUAACACGUGAGCAACCUGCCCCGGACUCUGGGAUAACAGCUGGAAACAGCUGCUAAUACCGGAUACGAGCUGCGAAGGCAUCUUCAGCAGCUGGAAAGAAUUUCGGUCCGGGAUGGGCUCGCGGCCUAUCAGCUAGUUGGUGAGGUAACGGCUCACCAAGGCGUCGACGGGUAGCCGGCCUGAGAGGGUGACCGGCCACACUGGGACUGAGACACGGCCCAGACUCCUACGGGAGGCAGCAGUGGGGAAUAUUGCACAAUGGGCGAAAGCCUGAUGCAGCAACGCCGCGUGAGGGACGACGGCCUUCGGGUUGUAAACCUCUUUUAGCAGGGAAGAAGCGAAAGUGACGGUACCUGCAGAAAAAGCGCCGGCUAACUACGUGCCAGCAGCCGCGGUAAUACGUAGGGCGCAAGCGUUAUCCGGAAUUAUUGGGCGUAAAGAGCUCGUAGGCGGUCUGUCGCGUCUGCUGUGAAAACCCGAGGCUCAACCUCGGGCCUGCAGUGGGUACGGGCAGACUAGAGUGCGGUAGGGGAGAUUGGAACUCCUGGUGUAGCGGUGGAAUGCGCAGAUAUCAGGAAGAACACCGAUGGCGAAGGCAGAUCUCUGGGCCGUAACUGACGCUGAGGAGCGAAAGGGUGGGGAGCAAACAGGCUUAGAUACCCUGGUAGUCCACCCCGUAAACGUUGGGAACUAGUUGUGGGGUCCAUUCCACGGAUUCCGUGACGCAGCUAACGCAUUAAGUUCCCCGCCUGGGGAGUACGGCCGCAAGGCUAAAACUCAAAGGAAUUGACGGGGACCCGCACAAGCGGCGGAGCAUGCGGAUUAAUUCGAUGCAACGCGAAGAACCUUACCAAGGCUUGACAUAUAGAGGAAACGGCUGGAAACAGUCGCCCCGCAAGGUCUCUAUACAGGUGGUGCAUGGUUGUCGUCAGCUCGUGUCGUGAGAUGUUGGGUUAAGUCCCGCAACGAGCGCAACCCUCGUUCUAUGUUGCCAGCACGUAAUGGUGGGAACUCAUGGGAUACUGCCGGGGUCAACUCGGAGGAAGGUGGGGAUGACGUCAAAUCAUCAUGCCCCUUAUGUCUUGGGCUUCACGCAUGCUACAAUGGCCGGUACAAAGGGCUGCAAUACCGUAAGGUGGAGCGAAUCCCAAAAAGCCGGUCCCAGUUCGGAUUGAGGUCUGCAACUCGACCUCAUGAAGUCGGAGUCGCUAGUAAUCGCAGAUCAGC
rnacentral:rRNA from 1 species